rnacentral:rRNA from 1 species
AGUGAACGCUGGCGGUAGGCCUAACACAUGCAAGUCGAACGGCAGCACAGUAAGAGCUUGCUCUUACGGGUGGCGAGUGGCGGACGGGUGAGGAAUACAUCGGAAUCUACUUUUUCGUGGGGGAUAACGUAGGGAAACUUACGCUAAUACCGCAUACGACCUACGGGUGAAAGCAGGGGAUCUUCGUACCUUGCGCGAUUGAAUGAGCCGAUGUCCGAUUAGCUAGUUGGCGGGGUAAAGGCCCGCCAAGGCGCCGAUCCGUAGCUGGUCUGAGAGGGUAAUCAGCCACACUGGAAUUGAACAACGGUCCAGACUCCUACGGGAGCGAGCAGUGGGGAAUAUUGGACGAUGGGCGCAAGCCUGAUCCAGCCAUACCGCGUGGGUGAAGAAGGCCUUCGGGUUUUAAAGCCCUUUUGUUAGGAAAGAAAAGCAGCAGGUUAAUACCCCGCUGUUCUGACGGUACCCAAAGAAUAAGCACCGGCUAACUUCGUG